rnacentral:rRNA from 1 species
AGAGUUUGAUCCUGGCUCAGGACGAACGCUGGCGGCGCGCCUAACACAUGCAAGUCGAACGGAGAUUACAGGCGGAAGUUUUCGGAUGGAAGCUUGUAAACUUAGUGGCGGACGGGUGAGUAACACGUGAGCAACCUGCCUAUCAGAGGGGGAUAACGAUUGGAAACGAUCGCUAAUACCGCAUGACAUAGCGAAACCGCAUGGUUUUGCUAUCAAAGAUUUUAUCGCUGAUAGAUGGGCUCGCGUCCGAUUAGAUAGUUGGUGGGGUAACGGCCUACCAAGUCGACGAUCGGUAGCCGGACUGAGAGGUCGAACGGCCACAUUGGGACUGAGACACGGCCCAGACUCCUACGGGAGGCAGCAGUGGGGGAUAUUGCACAAUGGGGGAAACCCUGAUGCAGCGACGCCGCGUGAGGGAAGACGGUCCUCUGGAUUGUAAACCUCUGUCUUCGGGGACGAAACGAGACGGUACCCGAGGAGGAAGCCACGGCUAACUACGUGCCAGCAGCCGCGGUAAUACGUAGGUGGCAAGCGUUGUCCGGAAUUACUGGGUGUAAAGGGAGCGUAGGCGGGCAGGCAAGUCAGGCGUGAAAUAUAUCGGCUCAACCGGUAACGGCGCUUGAAACUGCAGGUCUUGAGUGAAGUAGAGGUUGGCGGAAUUCCUAGUGUAGCGGUGAAAUGCGUAGAUAUUAGGAGGAACACCAGUGGCGAAGGCGGCCAACUGGGCUUUUACUGACGCUGAGGCUCGAAAGUGUGGGGAGCAAACAGGAUUAGAUACCCUGGUAGUCCACACCGUAAACGAUGAUUA